rnacentral:rRNA from 1 species
GACGAACGCUGGCGGCGUGCUUAACACAUGCAAGUCGAACGGAAAGGCCCUGCUUUUGUGGGGUGCUCGAGUGGCGAACGGGUGAGUAACACGUGAGUAACCUGCCCUUGACUUUGGGAUAACUUCAGGAAACUGGGGCUAAUACCGGAUAGGAGCUCCUGCUGCAUGGUGGGGGUUGGAAAGUUUCGGCGGUUGGGGAUGGACUCGCGGCUUAUCAGCUUGUUGGUGGGGUAGUGGCUUACCAAGGCUUUGACGGGUAGCCGGCCUGAGAGGGUGACCGGCCACAUUGGGACUGAGAUACGGCCCAGACUCCUACGGGAGGAAGCAGUGGGGAAUAUUGCACAAUGGGCGGAAGCCUGAUGCAGCAGCGCCGCGUGCGGGAUGACGGCCUUCGGGUUGUAAACCGCUUUCGCCUGUGACGAAGCGUGAGUGACGGUAAUGGGUAAAGAAGCACCGGCUAACUACGUG